AUUUCCCUCAGGGCUAAACUAAUCAGUGACGGACCAAGGAAGGAAGUUGUCUCAGAGCGGAUAGAAACAAUGGAGGAGCUUGCCAAGGAGGAAGUGCUUUGUUCUCUGAGUGACAAUGACGGGAGAGUGGUGAAGGAUGAAGAUACAGAGAACAUCUUUCAAGAAAGUAUGGAACGUGAUGAUGAACAGGGAGAGAUACUGAAUGAUCCAGAAUUGCAGAUCAUUGGACAAGCUAUCAUCACUAUCUCAGAGGUGAAGGAGUAGGAGGUAUUUGAAGAGAGAACGUGUACUGUGGAGAAAGAGGUUUUACAGAGGGAUAAAUAUAAUUACAACAAGGAUUGAACACUCAACGACAAACUAGGACUGGACUGGAGAACCCGAACGGCACUUGGACCCAGCUUCUGUAUGAAAACGACCCUCGAUAACAAACCCCGGCUUGAAAAGACAACGCUUGAAGGACCUCCCACUGGCGGCGGAUUAUUUACUUUGUUUGCUUUGGUUUUUAU